AACGAACGCUGGCGGCAUGCCUAACACAUGCAAGUCGAACGAAGCCUUCGGGCUUAGUGGCGCACGGGUGCGUAACGCGUGGGAAUCUGCCCUUGGGUUCGGAAUAACAGUUAGAAAUGACUGCUAAUACCGGAUGAUGUCUUCGGACCAAAGAUUUAUCGCCCAAGGAUGAGCCCGCGUAGGAUUAGGUAGUUGGUGGGGUAAUGGCCCACCAAGCCGACGAUCCUUAGAGGGUCCGAGAGGAUGAGCAGCCACACGGGGACUGAGACACGGCCCAGACUCGUACGGGAGGCAGCGGGGGGGAAUAUUGAAAAAUGGGGGAAAGCCUGAUCCGGCAAGGCCGCGUGAGUGAUGAAGGCCUUAGGGUUGUAAAGCUCUUUUACCAGGGAUGAUAAUGACAGUACCUGGAGAAUAAGCUCCGGCUAACUCCGUGCCAGCCGCCGCCGUAAGAC
rnacentral:rRNA from 1 species